UGGGGUAUAGCUCAGUUGGUAGAGCACCUGCCUUGCAAGCAGGGGUCAGCGGUUCGAAUCCGCUUACCUCCACCA
rnacentral:tRNA from 1 species